rnacentral:rRNA from 1 species
AUUGAACGCUGGCGGCAUGCCUUACACAUGCAAGUCGAACGGCAGCGGACCUUCGGGUGCCGGCGAGUGGCGAACGGGUGAGUAAUGCAUCGGAACGUGCCAUUGAGUGGGGGAUAACGUAGCGAAAGUUGCGCUAAUACCGCAUAUUCUGUGAGCAGGAAAGCAGGGGACCGCAAGGCCUUGCGCUCUUUGAGCGGCCGAUGUCAGAUUAGCUAGUUGGUGAGGUAACGGCUUACCAAGGCGACGAUCUGUAGCGGGUCUGAGAGGAUGAUCCGCCACACUGGAACUGAGACACGGUCCAGACUCCUACGGGAGGCAGCAGUGGGGAAUUUUGGACAAUGGGGGCAACCCUGAUCCAGCCAUGCCGCGUGAGUGAAGAAGGCCUCGGUGUAAG